GGAGAGGUGUCAGAGUGGUCGAUUGUGCCUCCUUGCUAAGGAGGUAGAGGGUAAUACCUCUCGAGGGUUCGAAUCCCUCCCUCUCCG
rnacentral:tRNA from 1 species